rnacentral:rRNA from 1 species
CAGCAGCCGCGGUAAUACGUAGGGGGCAAGCGUUAUCCGGAUUUACUGGGCGUAAAGCGCGUUAAGGCGGCCGCGUAAGUUGGUGGUGAAAUCGCAGGGCUCAACCCUGCAACUGCCUCCAAUACUGCGCGGCUCGAGUGCGAGAGAGGAAGGUGGAAUUCCCGGUGUAGUAGUGAAAUGCGUAGAUAUCGGGAGGAACACCAGUGGCGAAGGCGGCCUUCUGGCUCGCAACUGACGCUGUAGCGCGAAAGUGUGGGGAGCGAACGGGAUUAGAUACCCCGGUAGUCCACACUGUAAACGAUGUGCACUAGGUGUUGGGCGUAUUGACGCGCUCAGUGCCGCAGCUAACGCAUUAAGUGCACCGCCUGGGGAGUACGGCCGCAAGGUUAAAACUCAAAGGAAUUGACGG